GACGACCGGCUGGACACCCACGUGUCCGGCCCACAAGUGGAGGCUCCGCACUCCCACCCUCUCGCCCUCCGGGCGGCGGGUCACCGGUCAGACGGAAGGCGCCCCUGGGGUGUUCUCCGUCCGAUAGCCCCGCGAUCCGCGGCGGUGUUCCGGUAGUACAGGAGCCCCGUCUGUGAUCGUCCGGGGCAUUUUUC
rnacentral:ncRNA from 1 species